GAAAUACAUACGAAUUUCAACUUUAUUUAUUUCUCUAUAAAGAUUAUAAAGAUAAGUAGUUUAUGUCAUUGUUGGUAAGAUUUUUAAUGAUAAACCUGUGUGCAAAACAAAUAAAGGAACAUUAACAGUUUAAGUAGCUCCUGUCUUAAACAUUUAUUUAUGUGUUUUGUUCUCUUCCACCCAGAGAGCUGACUGACAGGAGGAAUGUCAGGAUGGGUGUGUACUAAUGGAAAAUGUAAAGAGGAACGCGGAAACUUUCAUCAUCUCUGAAACACAAACACAGUAAACGUAUCUGUUUGACUGGCAUGCAGUUCAACAGCUUAUUAGAUACAUCCUGGAUAGGUCACAGCUGCAGGUUUGAUCUCUCUCCAAACAAUAUUGACUGAACCAACAGCAAAAGAAGAUCCAAACUACACUUCACAUAAACAUCGUCAUGAAUUCCCUUAGUUUCGCUGUUUUGCUUCCACCACGGUAAAAAUCACUUCAUGCACAGCUUUCUCUCUCUCUCUCUCUCUCUCUCUGUGUAUACUCCAAGAACAGUUUCCCGUCUAAAAAUCUGUUUUCUGCAUUAUUCACUUGCUUGUUACGCACAAGUUGUUUACAGCUCUGUCAGACACUGUUUUUUUUCCUUUUACUUACUUCCAAAAAAAGCCCCAUUUCUGCUGUUCAAUGGGCUUCUCAACAAAUUUAAACUUUUUAAAAUUAUGCAAAAUUGCAAACGCUCAGCUGUGUCUCUAAUAAAACCUUUGUAACUUUGCUCUGCUUCACUUCAGCAGCAUCAGGUAAUGUUCAUAUGUUGAUUAAUGGUUUUCUUUCGUUUUUGAUCUACUGCAGAAUAUUUUUACAAAAUCCCAGGCCAGGAAAAUCACCU
ensembl:lncRNA